rnacentral:rRNA from 1 species
UACGGGGGGAGCAAGCGUUGUUCGGAUUUACUGGGCGUAAAGGGCGCGUAGGCGGCCAGCACAAGUCAGUUGUGAAAUCUCCGAGCUUAACUCGGAAAGGUCAACUGAUACUGUGCGGCUAGAGUGCAGAAGGGGCAACUGGAAUUCUUGGUGUAGCGGUGAAAUGCGUAGAUAUCAAGAGGAACACCUGCGGCGAAGGCGGGUUGCUGGGCUGACACUGACGCUGAAGCGCGAAAGCCAGGGGAGCGAACAGG